rnacentral:rRNA from 1 species
AGAGUUUGAUCCUGGCUCAGAACGAACGCUGGCGGCGCGUCUUAAGCAUGCAAGUCGAGCGGCAACUUGCCUUCGGGUAAGCUAGAGCGGCGGACUGGUGAGUAACACGUAGAUGACGUACCCUCUGCAUGGGGAUAGCCGAUAGAAAUAUCGGGUAAUACCGAAUAAGGUCACUUAGGUUGGAGAUGAGUGAGGAAAGGGGCUAAUGCCCCGACGGAGGAACGGUCUGCGGCCCAUCAGCUAGAUGGCGGGGUAAGGGCCCACCAUGGCGAUGACGGGUAUCCGGCCUGAGAGGGUGAGCGGGCACAUUGGGACUGAGAUACGGCCCAGACUCCUACGGGAGGCAGCAGCUAAGAGUAUUCCGCAAUGCACGGAAGUGUGACGGAGCGACGCCGCGUGGACGAUGAAGGCCGGAAGGUUGUAAAGUCCUUUGGCACUUGAGGAAGGAGGGGAGGAGUGGAAAGCCUCCCUGGUGACUGUAGAGUGAGAACAAGCACCGGCUAAUUACGUGCCAGCAGCCGCGGUAACACGUAAGGUGCAAGCGUUGUUCGGAAUUAUUGGGCGUAAAGGGCAUGUAGGCGGUUAAUUAAGUCGGGCGUGAAAUACUAGGGCUCAACUCUGGUGCUGCGCCCGAUACUGAGGAACUAGAGUCAGUGAGGCGGAACUGGAAUUCUUGGUGUAGGGGUGAAAUCUGUAGAUAUCAAGAAGAACACCGGUGGCGAAGGCAGGUUCCGAGCACAUGACUGACGCUGAGGUGCGAAGGUGCGGGGAGCGAACAGGAUUAGAUACCCUGGUAGUCCGCACAGUAAACGAUGUGCACUUGGUGUCUGGCCAAGAGGCUGGGUGUCAAAGCAAACGCGAUAAGUGCACCGCCUGGGGAGUAUGCCCGCAAGGGUGAAACUCAAAGGAAUUGACGG